CAGGCUUAACACAUGCAAGUCGAGGGGCAGCAUGGUCUUAGCUUGCUAAGGCCGAUGGCGACCGGCGCACGGGUGAGUAACACGUAUCCAACCUGCCGUCUACUCUUGGACAGCCUUCUGAAGGGAAGAUUAAUACAAGAUGGCAUCAUGAGUCCGCAUGUUCACAUGAUUAAAGGUAUUCCGGUAGACGAUGGGGAUGCGUUCCAUUAGAUAGUAGGCGGGGUAACGGCCCACCUAGUCUUCGAUGGAUAGGGGUUCUGAGAGGAAGGUCCCCCACAUUGGAACUGAGACACGGUCCAAACUCCUACGGGAGGCAGCAGUGAGGAAUAUUGGUCAAUGGGCGAGAGCCUGAACCAGCCAAGUAGCGUGAAGGAUGACUGCCCUAUGGGUUGUAAACUUCUUUUAUAAAGGAAUAAAGUCGGGUAUGGAUACCCGUUUGCAUGUACUUUAUGAAUAAGGAUCGGCUAACUCCGUGCCAGCAGCCGCGGUAAUACGGAGGAUCCGAGCGUUAUCCGGAUUUAUUGGGUUUAAAGGGAGCGUAGAUGGAUGUUUAAGUCAGUUGUGAAAGUUUGCGGCUCAACCGUAAAAUUGCAGUUGAUACUGGAUAUCUUGAGUGCAGUUGAGGCAGGCGGAAUUCGUGGUGUAGCGGUGAAAUGCUUAGAUAUCACGAGGAACUCCGAUUGCGAAGGCAGCCUGCUAAGCUGCAACUGACAUUGAGGCUCGAAAGUGUGGGUAUCAAACAGGAUUAGAUACCCUGGUAGUCCACACGGUAAACGAUGAAUACUCGCUGUUUGCGAUAUACAGCAAGCGGCCAAGCGAAAGCGUUAAGUAUUCCACCUGGGGAGUACGCCGGCAACGGUGAAACUCAAAGGAAUUGACGGGGGCCCGCACAAGCGGAGGAACAUGUGGUUUAAUUCGAUGAUACGCGAGGAACCUUACCCGGGCUUAAAUUGCAGAUGAAUUACGGUGAAAGCCGUAAGCCGCAAGGCAUCUGUGAAGGUGCUGCAUGGUUGUCGUCAGCUCGUGCCGUGAGGUGUCGGCUUAAGUGCCAUAACGAGCGCAACCCUUGUUGUCAGUUACUAACAGGUUCCGCUGAGGACUCUGACAAGACUGCCAUCGUAAGAUGUGAGGAAGGUGGGGAUGACGUCAAAUCAGCACGGCCCUUACGUCCGGGGCUACACACGUGUUACAAUGGGGGGUACAGAGGGCCGCUACCACGCGAGUGGAUGCCAAUCCCCAAAACCUCUCUCAGUUCGGACUGGAGUCUGCAACUCGACUCCACGAAGCUGGAUUCGCUAGUAAUCGCGCAUCAGCCACGGCGCGGUGAAUACGUUCCCGGGCCUUGUACACACCGCCCGUCAAGCCAUGGGAGCCGGGGGUACCUGAAGUGCGUAACCGCGAGGAGCGCCCUAGGGUAAAACUGGUGACUGGGGC
rnacentral:rRNA from 1 species